rnacentral:rRNA from 1 species
CCUACGGGUGGCAGCAGUGGGGGAUAUUGCACAAUGGGGGGAACCCUGAUGCAGCGACGCCGCGUGGGUGAAGGAGUGCUUCGGCAUGUAAAGCCCUAUCGGCAGGGAAGAAGCAAGACGGUACCUGACUAAGAAGCCCCGGCGAACUACGGGCCCGCAGCCGCGGUAAUACGUAGGGGGCGAGCGUUAUCCGGAUUCACUGGGUGUAAAGGGAGCGUAGACGGCCAUGCAAGCCAGGGGUGAAAGCCCGGGGCCCAACCCCGGGACUGCCCUUGGAACUGGGCGGCUAGAGUGCGGGAGGGGCAGGCGGAAUUCCUGGUGUAGCGGUGAAAUGCGUAGAUAUCAGGAGGAACACCGGCGGCGAAGGCGGCCUGCUGGACCGCGACUGACGUUGAGGCUCGAAAGCGUGGGGAGCGAACAGGAUUAGAUACCCGAGUAGUC